AGUAUUUCUUCUUCUGGUUGGACUGCGCUGUCAAUGACAACGUAGGGCGUGAGAGCUGCCCCUUUUGGCCUCCUGACUCCAUGUUAAUGAGGGAUCUUCUGAGCAAUGUUGAAUACCUGCAGUAACAGACGACAUCCUCGCCUCGUUUCUGACUUCAGUGGGAACGCGUCUGAUAUUUCACCUUCAAAAUCAUACUUACUUUUGUUUUCAAGAAUAUAUCCCUUGUGGCUGUCUUUGUACGAGAAGGCUAGCAUCCAUUCUCAGCUAACCGGAAGCUGAUAUGCUGGACGUGGCCAGGCUUGAAUGCUCUGCGCACAUGCCUCCUGAAGAGAAUGAAAUGUACGCUGGACGUUCCCCAGAUGAGAUUGCCGUCCGUGUCCAGCACCAGGCAAAUUCUCCUCAUUCCUUUCACUUAGUCCUGGCCUCACGAUCCAGCAUUUUUAUAGGAGUUUUAAGGUUUUAUGUUUCUAUUAAAAUUUUCCUUAUUGGUAUAAUCC
ensembl:lncRNA